CAGCAGCCGCGGUAAUACGAAGGGGGCUAGCGUUGUUCGGAAUUACUGGGCGUAAAGGGCGCGUAGGCGGCCAUUCAAGUUAGAUGUGAAAGCCCUGGGCUCAACCUAGGAAUUGCAUUUGAUACUGUUUGGCUUGAGUUCGGGAGAGGUGAGUGGAAUUCCCAGUGUAGAGGUGAAAUUCGUAGAUAUUGGGAAGAACACCAGUGGCGAAGGCGGCUCACUGGACCGACACUGACGCUGAGGCGCGAAAGCGUGGGGAGCAAACAGGAUUAGAUACCCCGGUAGUCCCUGUCUCUUAUAC
rnacentral:rRNA from 1 species